CAAAAACCCGAGGAAGCCGAGCGCCAUAGCCGCCGUCGCCGAGCCAUCCGCCGCGCCAAGUCCUCCCCGCCGCGUCCGAGCUCGCCGCCAGCUUCGCAGUAGCGGGAGGAACUCGUUUUGCUGCUCGCCGAAGUCUCUCCGCCGUCGGAACCGAGUUCUCUCCGCUCGCCGGAAGCUUCCCCGCCCGUCGGAUUCGCCUCUCCGCCGUCGCAGCCGGAUCCCCGUCGACUUCCGAGCGCCGCCGCCCGCCAUUGUCGUCGCCCGUCGCCGUCAAGACCUCCCCGGCCGUCGACAAGCCCCCGGAGGAGAGCAGAGUGCCAGCAUCCAAGACCAAGUUUUCGAAGAUUCUGAGCAGCCAGCUUACGAAGGCAAGUGUCCUUGAUCACCUUGAUUUAACCAUAGAUCAUUAUAGUUUACUUUUCCUUAGUUGCAUGCUUGUCUAAUUUUGAAUCCCAUGAAUAGGGUUUACUAGAAUUUGUAUGGCCAUUCCUUGUAGCCUUUUUGGGGUUUUGGGUCCUGUAAAAGGGUAGUCAUGCUAGUGCAGUCAUGGAUUAGAAUCAUUAUGAACUUUGAUUAAUAACUAUGGAACAAGUACUUGGGAGAAUUGAUAAUCUUGUAGUAACUUGAAUUUAGGGAUCCCAACUGGAUGGCUAGUAUGUGGUGGAGCUAUACAGCAGGGUUUGUGUAUGUUCUUGUGUGGGAUCCUAAGGACCGGUUCUUGGAGCCUGUAACCUGGCAAAACAGCACAACCAUGGGGCCUAUAUGGGUACGGCCUGGCUAAGUAAUUAGUGUUUUUCGCAUUCUGUACGCACCAAUGGUUGGUUCGGUGGCACAAGAGGGGGCCUCUGCAGUGGAUGGGAUCCCUGUUAGCGGUGAAACCUUAGUGGGUGCUUAUAGAUGUGAAGAUACUUUGUAACAGCCUUGUAGUGAGACCCCGGCCAUACACCCCGGAAGUGUAAGGCAAAAAGGGAAUCACGACUCGUGGGUAAAGUGUGCAAACUCUGCAGAGUAAAUAACUGAUCGAUCAGCCGUGCUCACGGUCAAGAGCGGCUUGGACUUCUUCAGGAUUAGAUGGGAACUUUAAGGGUUGGUUUGGGUAGUCGGGUGGUGGUACUCCCGAUGAGUCGGUAGCCGGAUAUGGGAUAUCUGGUGAGUCUGGUAGUCGGAUGGAAUCCGAUGAGUUAUGUUCUUAUAUUGUUGGAAUAAAAUCUAGUAAAUAGGAUUGCUAGGUUGUUUGAGUCUGUUUUAGCUGAGCAUAGUCGCAGUAAAUUCCCAAGUUGAACUUUCCUUGUCAAUAGCCUGCAUGUCAUAUUUUUCCUCCACUUGCUGGGUACUUUAUGUACUCACGCUUGCCUUUUUCCCUACCCUCGGAUGCUGCUCAGAAGGUGAAGUCUUCGAGGAAGUCCCGGGCGAGGACGCUGAUUUCUAGAAGGAAGAAGGCGUUGAUUGAAGACCAUGUCCUAGGCUGGUGUUUCCCCCGGACAACGCCUGUGGAUGGAUGGGUGUUCCGCUGCCAAUUGAAGAUUUAUUAGUAUUUUCUUUCAGACCUACGGGUCCUUUUGUAAGGAUUGUUUACGUUAUUUAAGACACCGUUUAUGUUAUCACUAAUGACGUCGCUGCAUGUAUGUAAACUUGAUCCUGGCAUACAUGUGGAAUACAUCUGGUUGUUUCCUUUAAAACCGGGUGUGACAGAAGUGGUAUCAGAGCCGUGUUGACCGUAGGACGCAAGCCUAGUUAGAAAUGGUCGAUAUUAAGGAUUGAGCUUUGCAGAAAAAAAAGGGGGUUUUAAAAAUUCUUUUACUCCACCAGUGUUAUUGUCCUCCCUUCCUUGGCCCUUGUUUAUAAAUCUUUAAAAUGUUUACUGAUUUUCACUUCUUCAAAAUUUUAGAUGGCCCGCACGAGACUGACAGCCCGCAAGCAAGUGGGAGGAUUCACCCCUGCAAGAGCUACCUCAGACGUCACAUGGGCACAUCAGGCACCUGCAGAGUUCCACACCACCGGACUGCAUGCGGGAGAGUUACCCCGCAAACUCUGGUCGAUCCUCAAAGGCUUGGGGUAUCAGGAGGCCCCGGUCUACAAGGGGGUCAGGACGCCACUGAGCAACAAUGGAUAUUCUUGGAUGGUGGAGGUGGCUAUCUACGAGAAGAUUCCGGAUGGCGACGGAUGCAAGGUACGGAGGAUCCAUGCAGCCAUCGCUCCGAGGGAGAGUUUUGCUGCCGGGAUUGGCGAUGCCGCUCGCCAGGCCCUGGCAGUGCUUUGUGCAGAGUACCAUGGCAUUCUUCAGACCACCCCCUACCACUACUACCCUCAGCGAGCCAGUGGUAGCCUGGAAGUCACCUUCGCCCCCUCCAACAGAGAAGGUGAUGCAAGAUUGGUGGAGCAGGUUCGCUUCACGGAUAUCCUGACACGGGAGCUGGACGGAGCCCUCGACGAGUUACACGAUACACACCUGAGGCUCGCCGAAGCUGAGG